GGAAGGUUAAUUGAUGGGGUUAGCGCAAGCGAAGCUCUUGAUCGAAGCCCCGGUAAACGGCGGCCGUAACUAUAACGGUCCUAAGGUAGCGAAAUUCCUUGUCGGGUAAGUUCCGACCUGCACGAAUGGCGUAACGAUGGCGGCGCUGUCUCCACCCGAGACUCAGUGAAAUUGAAAUCGCUGUGAAGAUGCAGUGUAUCCGCGGCUAGACGGAAAGACCCCGUGAACCUUUACUGUAGCUUUGCACUGGACUUUGAGCCUGCUUGUGUAGGAUAGGUGGGAGGCUUUGAAGCGUGGACGCCAGUUCGCGUGGAGCCAUCCUUGAAAUACCACCCUGGCAUGCUUGAGGUUCUAACUCUGGUCCGUAAUCCGGAUCGAGGACAGUGUAUGGUGGGCAGUUUGACUGGGGCGGUCUCCUCCUAAAGAGUAACGGAGGAGUACGAAGGUGCGCUCAGACCGGUCGGAAAUCGGUCGCAGAGUAUAAAGGCAAAAGCGCGCUUGACUGCGAGACAGACACGUCGAGCAGGUACGAAAGUAGGUCUUAGUGAUCCGGUGGUUCUGUAUGGAAGGGCCAUCGCUCAACGGAUAAAAGGUACUCCGGGGAUAACAGGCUGAUACCGCCCAAGAGUUCAUAUCGACGGCGGUGUUUGGCACCUCGAUGUCGGCUCAUCACAUCCUGGGGCUGAAGCCGGUCCCAAGGGUAUGGCUGUUCGCCAUUUAAAGUGGUACGCGAGCUGGGUUUAGAACGUCGUGAGACAGUUCGGUCCCUAUCUGCCGUGGACGUUUGAGAUUUGAGAGGGGCUGCUCCUAGUACGAGAGGACCGGAGUGGACGAACCUCUGGUGUUCCGGUUGUCACGCCAGUGGCAUUGCCGGGUAGCUAUGUUCGGAAAAGAUAACCGCUGAAAGCAUCUAAGCGGGAAACUUGCCUCAAGAUGAGAUCUCACUGGGAACUUGAUUCCCCUGAAGGGCCGUCGAAGACUACGACGUUGAUAGGCUGGGUGUGUAAGCGUUGUGAGGCGUUGAGCUAACCAGUACUAAUUGCCCGUGAGGCUUGACCAU
rnacentral:rRNA from 1 species